GACGAACGCUGGCGGCGUGCCUAAUACAUGCAAGUAGAACGCAGUUGCGAACGGGUGAGUAACGCGUAGGUAACUGCCUCAUAGCGGGGGAUAACUAUUGGAAACGAUAGCUAAUACCGCAUCCUGUGAGAUGGACCUGCGUUGUAUUAGCUAGUUGGUGAGGUAAAGGCUCAACAAGGCGACGAUACAUUGCCGACCUGAGAGGGUGAUCGGCCAAAACGGGAGUUGGACAAGGCCCAGAAUCCUGCCGGAGGCAGCAGUAGGGAAUCUUCGGCAAUGGACGGAAGUCUGACCGAGCAACGGCGCGUGAGUGAAGAAGGGUUUCGGAUCGUAAAGCUCUGUUGUUUGAGGAGCGGUACCUACCCAGAAAGGGACGGCUAACUACGUGCCAGCAGCCGCGGUAAUAC
rnacentral:rRNA from 1 species